GACUCUCGGCAAUGGAUAUCUCGGCUCUCGAAUCGAUGAAGAACGUAGCAAAAUGCCAUACUUGGUAUGAAUUGCAGAAUCCUGUCAACCAUCGAGUCUUUGAAUCCUGUCAACCAUCGAGUCU
rnacentral:rRNA from 1 species